GAUGAACGCUGGCGGCGUGCCUAAUACAUGCAAGUCGAGCGAACGGACGAGAAGCUUGCUUCUCUGAUGUUAGCGGCGGACGGGUGAGUAACACGUGGAUAACCUACCUAUAAGACUGGGAUAACUUCGGGAAACCGGAGCUAAUACCGGAUGAUAUUUUGAACCGCAUGGUUCAAAAGUGAAAGACGGUCUUGCUGACACUUAUAGAUGGAUCCGCGCUGCAUUAGCUAGUUGGUAAGGUAACGGCUUACCAAGGCAACGAUGCAUAGCCGACCUGAGAGGGUGAUCGGCCACACUGGAACUGAGACACGGUCCAGACUCCUACGGGAGGCAGCAGUAGGGAAUCUUCCGCAAUGGGCGAAAGCCUGACGGAGCAACGCCGCGUGAGUGAUGAAGGUCUUCGGAUCGUAAAACUCUGUUAUUAGGGAAGAACAUAUGUGUAAGUAACUGUGCACAUCUUGACGGUACCUAAUCAGAAAGCCACGGCUAACUACGUG
rnacentral:rRNA from 1 species